UCCAGAAGCCAACCAUCAGACUCAGAGUUGGGGUCUCCGUGUCUCAGCACGUUCUCUAGAGACGUCUGGAGGUAACGAACCCCUGUCAACACCGACAACUACAACAAGGACAAGAGAGUCUAUGACUAUGAUUUAUUCCUAUCACAUAUGAAUCGUCUAUUGUUUUCUACAGAAUAUGAUAGGAUAGGACAUAGUAAGAAAAUUGAAUACCUGCAGCAAACAAACAACAAUGGAGGACAUUCAGCAUCUUAUGUUGUGUAUAGUGUCCAGCAUCCACUCUUUAUGUACACCUCCACAAUGGUUGGUACCCCAAAAGAAAUGUGCCAGUAAGUAAUUGUAUGCGUUUCGCAAAUUGACUUUCUGUCCAAUUUCCAUGCCAUUUUUCUCCUGUUAAUGGUCACAGCAGAGGCUGGAGCCUACUCAAGUGAUUUAGAGCAACACACUCUUUCCACCGAUCAGCUCUACUUUUGAACCCAUCGGUUGAAAUGAGACACGCUAACAAACAACCAAGAUGGAUUUUAUCCUAAGGAGACUGCAUGAGGGCAGCAAGAAAAAAGGUUGAAUAAAAUAUUGAAGCAUCCAGACCUAAGGCACAGCAAAAAGAGAGACGAAGGACAUCAAGAAAACAAAGUCUGUGUAGUAAAAUACUGCUGUGUUGAGCGCUAAGGCACAACAACAAGUUAAGCUAACAUGACCCUGUGUUUAUUUUUGUCAUUCUCAACAAUUAAGCUAACAUUAGCAUGUGUUUUUUUUUGUCAAUCUCUUUGAUAGGGGAAUUGUGAACCUCAAGAAAACAAAGAACGUGAAAUAGAAUACUGCAGUGUCCAGAGCUAAGGCACUACAACAUGGUAAAUCUUUUUUGAAAAGGUCCCAGGAGGCUCAUUUGGUCAUGAUUACAGACGACUGGCCACAACCGAAUCUCAUGUCAAUGAAAGGACACAAAAGAACAAGCUUACCCAAAAGCAAAAGAAAAAGCCACAGACAACAACAAAUUUUGACAAGGAAUAAAAAUGUUUUCAAAUCUAAUCUCAAAACAUCAUAAAUGUGAUGUAUCUGUACAUGAUUCUCAUUCAACAGUAACAAAGCCAAUACCAUCACAACCAUGAGCUUUAGUGUUAAUGUUGCGAUAUGCCCAGGUGCCCAAUAUGCCCUUCACGCUGUUAAAUUCAAGAUACAACUGAUGCAAUUGCAGAUUCAAGGGAGAUUUGCAUACUGCAUGAACUUCAAUAUGAAGCAUAAGGUUGUUUUCAAGAACUUUUACAUAUGUUCUGUCUUUUGG